GUGCGCAAAUAAAAGGACACUAGGAACCAGAUCCUGGGGAAUUACCUUCCAUAAGUCAAACACGUCACCACCAGAAAUACGAAUAAGGGACAGCAUGUUUUUUUCGCAUCCUGACACUCCCUGAGGAUAUCAAAGGAACCCAAAGAGUUCAUUGAAGGAUGCUACGAACCCUGACAUAAUAGUGGCGGCAUCCUUGAUCCCAUCCCAGAGGGAGUUCAUGUUUGAACUGAUCAGCUCAAGAACAGCACAGAGAGCUUCAUGGAAUGGGUUUCCAUGGUCGAGCAGCUGCAUCUAAGCCGUACAUCACCAAGUGCAAUGCAAAACGUUGGAGACACGUUCUUUGGAGUGACAAAUCACGCUUCUCCCUCUGGAAAUCUGAUGGACGACUCUGGGUUUGGCGGUUGCUUGUCUGACUGCGUUAUGCCAAAUUUAAAGUUUGGCAGAGGGGGGAUUAUGGUCAGUGGCGGAGCUAGAGGGGGGGGCAGUGCCAUCUGAUUGGCCCCCCGAGUGGCCCCCCCAGAUGAUUGACAUGUCACGACACUAGGUCAUUUCUGCACAGUGGGUGGCAGUAUUUACCACAAUAGGUUGUGACACUUGUGACAGUUACACGCUCAAAACCAGCAGGGGGCGAUAGGCCAUUUGGACACAGCAGAGUUGAUCCAACAGAAGAGAUGUGAUAAAGAAAUAUUGUACAGCCAAGUGGAAUUCAGCCGAUUUGACUUUGUAGUGGAUUAAUAUCUUACAAUGAAUAUAUUCUUAUCAUAAUGAUUAAAGGGUGUGCUUAUAUAUCUCACAAUGAAUAUAUUUUUGUCACAAUGGUUAAAAGGUGUGCUGUAACUAUACCUAAGAAAGAAUGUGUGUGUGUCACUCCAGAGGUAAAAGAUAAGAGGUAGAGGGUCAAUGCAAACAAACGGAGGCAAGACAUCUGGACCAAAGAGCAAGCCAUUUGCAAUGUAAACGGAACAUGUAUGGUACAAAGGGCUGCAAUGUAAACAGAAAGUGCAUGGUCCAUGUUUGGAAAGGAUAAUGAAAUGUAACAAUGUCUGAAAUGGGUAGUGAUGUGUGACCAUGUUUGGAAUCAGCAGUGAUGUGUAACCAUGUUUUUAAAAAUAAGCACCCUAGGGAAAUUUCCACCGGUAUAUAAUAAGAUUACAAAGAUAUCCGUAGACAAGUACCUGAAAAUACGUAAUAAAGAGGAGGGGCUCGGGAAGGAGCCCCCAAGACCCAGGGAAUGUAUAU